rnacentral:rRNA from 1 species
GACGAACGCUGGCGGCGUGCUUAACACAUGCAAGUCGAGCGAUGAAAGCCUUAUGAACUAUUCGUAGUGAUUGGGGCCGGAUUAGCGGCGGACGGGUGAGUAACGCGUGAGCAACCUGCCUUAAACAACGGGAUAGCCUCGGGAAACCGGGAUUAAUACCGUAUGAGACCCCGCCUUCACAUGAAGAAGAGGUUAAAGAUUUAUCGGUUUAAGAUGGGCUCGCGUCUGAUUAGCUAGUUGGUGAGAUAAAAGCCCACCAAGGCAACGAUCAGUAACCGGCUUGAGAGAGUGAACGGUCACAUUGGAACUGAGACACGGUCCAAACUCCUACGGGAGGCAGCAGUGGGGAAUAUUGCACAAUGGGGGAAACCCUGAUGCAGCGACGCCGCGUGAGCGAUGAAGGAAUUCGUUUCGUAAAGCUCUGUCCAAGGGGAAGAUAAUGACAGUACCCUUGGAGGAAGCCCCGGCUAAAUACGUGCCAGCAGCCGCCGCAGUAA